rnacentral:rRNA from 1 species
UACAGAGGGUGCGAGCGUUGUUCGGAAUUAUUGGGCGUAAAGAGCGUGUAGGCGGCCAGAUAAGUCCGCUGUGAAAUCUCGAGGCUCAACUUCGAGCUGUCGGUGGAAACUGUCUGGCUAGAGUCCGGAAGAGGAGAAUGGAAUUCCCGGUGUAGCGGUGAAAUGCGCAGAUAUCGGGAAGAACACCCGUGGCGAAGGCGGCUCUCUGGGACGGUACUGACGCUGAGACGCGAAAGCGUGGGGAGCGAACAGG